GACUCGAUGAUUUUUUAGCCUGUAAUGGCAAUAUACGCUAUUCUGAAUCAUUUAUGUUGUCAGUAAUAUGUGAUCUAUGAGAGUC